CCUACGGGUGGCAGCAGUGAGGAAUAUUGGUCAAUGGACGAGCGUCUGAACCAGCCAAGUAGCGUGAAGGAUGACUGCCCUAUGGGUUGUAAACUUCUUUUAUAUGGGAAUAAAACGUUCCACGUGUGGGAUUUUGUAUGUACCCUAUGAAUAAGGCACGGCUAACUCCGUUCCAGCAGCCGCGGUAAUUCGGAGGAUCCGAACGUUUUCCGGAUUUAUUGGGUUUAAAGGGAGCGUAGGUGGAUUUGUAAGGCAGUUGUGAAAGUUUGCGGCUCAACCGUAAAAUUGCAGUUGAAACUGGCAGUCUUGAGUACAGGAGAGGUGGGCGGAAGUCGUGGUGUAGCGGUGAAAUGCUUAGAUAUCACGAAGAACUCCGAUUGCGAAGGCAGCUCACUGGACUGCAACUGACACUGAGGCUCGAAAGUGUGGGUAUCAAACAGGAUUAGAUACCCCAGUAGUC
rnacentral:rRNA from 1 species